UACCUUAGUAACGGCGAGUGAAGCGGUAAAAGCUCAAAUUUGAAAUCUGGUACUUUCAGUGCCCGAGUUGUAAUUUGUAGAAUUUGUCUUUGAUUAGGUCCUUGUCUAUGUUCCUUGGAACAGGACGUCAUAGAGGGUGAGAAUCCCGUUUGGCGAGGAUACCUUUUCUCUGUAAGACUUUUUCGAAGAGUCGAGUUGUUUGGGAAUGCAGCUCAAAGUGGGUGGUAAAUUCCAUCUAAAGCUAAAUAUUGGCGAGAGACCGAUAGCGAACAAGUACAGUGAUGGAAAGAUGAAAAGAACUUUGAAAAGAGAGUGAAAAAGUACGUGAAAUUGUUGAAAGGGAAGGGCAUUUGAUCAGACAUGGUGUUUUUUGCAUGCACUCGCCUCUCGUGGGCUUGGGCCUCUCAAAAAUUUCACUGGGCCAACAUCAAUUCUGGCAGCAGGAUAAAUCAUUAAGAAUGUAGCUACUUCGGUAGUGUUAUAGCUUUUUGGAAUACUGUUAGCCGGGAUUGAGGACUGCGCUUCGGCAAGGAUGUUGGCAUAAUGGUUAAAUGCCGCCCGUCUUGAAACACGGACCAAGGAGUCUAACGUCUAUGCGAGUGUUUGGGUGUAAAACCCGUACGCGUAAUGAAAGUGAACGUAGGUUGGGGCCUUCGGGUGCACAAUCGACCGACCUUGAUGUUUUCGGAUAGGUUUGAGUAAGAGCAUAGCUGUUGGGACCCGAAAGAUGGUGAACUAUGCCUGAAUAGGGUGAAGCCAGAGGAAACUCUGGUGGAGGCUCGUAGCGGUUCUGACGUGCAAAUCGAUCGUCGAAUUUGGGUAUAGGGGCGAAAGAC
rnacentral:rRNA from 1 species